rnacentral:misc_RNA from 1 species
GUUUUACAAAGCAAGAUGGCAGACAAUACUGAAGUGGACAUGGACCCAAGUGUUGAAUUCCUAUAUAAAACAAUGCUGCAGAGAGACCCAAGAAAAAGACGAGUAAAGCCUGUACAGAAACACCUCAUUCAGGUGGACUUUGGUGGAGCUGAUGAUAGUGAUGACAGUGAUUUUGAACUUGACAAGCAUAAGAAAGGACUUGAUGAUUCUGAUGAAGAUGAUGAUAAUCAACAGUCGUCUGAUGAUGGAGAUGAUGAUGGUGGAAGUGAAGAAGAAAAUGAAGAUGAUGAAGAGUCUGAAGAAGACAUCAAAAAGAAAAAGAAAGAGGAAAGUUUUGUGGAAGAAGUCAGUGUUCAAGAGGAAUCUGAAAGUUGUUUAUCCAAAGAGGAUGCCAUGAAAACAGAGAAGACUGAUGCUGCAGUCCCAUACAUUCCGUUCAAACAUAAACCAAUCAAGGUCACAAUCUGCUGUGUCUGUUUAGGUGACAUCAGGUAGGAACAACCUCACAUGGUAUGGUGGUAUGGGACAUCUUGAGAAAUUUAAAAUACGUACAUCAUUUUCAAAGCAUAAGCACCGAUUUUUAACAAUUUUAAUUUGUACAAUAUUUAACAAUAAAAUGCAUUCUGCAAAAUGUUAUAAUGAUAGAGCCCAUGACUAACUUUUUGGGCUUCACUGUUAGUCGUUAAGAUAGGGAAAGAAAAAAACAUGAAGUUAUACAUGUAUUAAUUUUUUUGUUUAUUUUGAAAUAAGAAAUCUGGAGGUAUCCCAUGCAUCCUGAACUUUUAAGGAAUACAAUGUACAUGUAUAAUUAUCUUUCAGUUAACAGGAUUUAUGUUCUUAUGUUCUUUCUGUUUUGCGUGUAAAAGAAAAAGAUCUAAUAAUAGUUGCUAAAUUACAUAAACAUUAAUGAGCUGGGGCAUGUUUGUCAUGUUUUACUUUUGUACAUGAACGUCAUAUGUUAAGUCCUAUUCAUCUUGAUGAACUCGAUUGACAUUUAGUGAAGAAGAUGAUGAAAUUGUGGAGUGUGACAACUGUGGAGCUUCUGUACAUGAAGGUUGUUAUGGGAUCAGUGAGAACCACUCCUCCUGCAGCACCGAGUCCUCAGCGAGCACAGAGCCGUGGUUCUGUGAUGCAUGUAAGGCAGGACUCAAACCAAUUUGUGAAUUGUGCCCAAACCCUGGAGGGAUAUUCAAAGAAACAGAUGCUGGGAAGUGGGUGCACCUGGUCUGUGCACUGUACACCCCUGGAGUAGCGUUUGGUGACGUAGAUAAGCUGAGUCCAGUCACUCUGUUUGAGAUGCCUUACUCACGUUGGGGUGCAAGGGAAUGUACUUUGUGUGAAGAUGCCCGAUUCAGUCGUACAGGAGUCUGCAUCAGCUGUGAUGCUGGCAUGUGUAGAACCUACUUUCAUGUGACCUGUGCACAAAGAGAAGGUCUACUGUCUGAGGCCGCUCCAGAAGAGUGCAUGGAUAUCGCAGAUCCAUUUUUUGCAUAUUGUAAAAUGCAUGCAGAAAAAGUGAUGUCCAGGGCCAAGAGAAGAAAUUGGCUGGCCAUUCAGUCCCACAUCAGGAAACACCCAGAGAAAAAGAUAGAGGACGAAAAAGAGAAAGCAAGGUUUGAAAGAAAGUUGAAGCGACACCAAGAAAAAUACCAGCAGGCUAAACUCAAAAGACCACCAUCAUGGGUCCCCACACAGAAACUUGUCAGACACUUAACAUCGAGUCCUGCUGCUGUGAAAAAAAUGUUGAGGAAAGCUGAACUCAUGGGAGUUAUUACACAGUCACAGCAUGUUACUCAUGAAAAGCAAGAAAUCAGGAAGAAAUCUUUUAUGGUGCCAUCUUUCUCAGUGGAAUUUAUCACUCACUUUCUUGAGAGAAACUCCAAAAUUGAGAAUACAAAGACAUGCAUGAAAGACAUAAAGUCACAAAAUGAAAAAUUACAAGAACAGGAAAAGAUUCUACGAAUGAAAUAUGAUCAGUUGUACUCGGAUGUGGAAGGCUUGAGACACUGUGCCAAUGAGAAAAGAAAGACGGGAGAGAAGUUAUGGAGCAUGUUGAAUGACUUGACUGACAAGAAAUUUCCUGUUCCUGAGGAGUUUAAAGUUCGCAAGCCCUCCCCAUCCCGGGUCAUCAAUCGUAAAAACAGCGUGACUUCACCGCCGGCCGUCAUACACAAAUGUGCGCUGUGCCACAAGACAAACAGCCAGCACCAGUUGGCACACUGCGACAGCUGUAAGGAGUACUAUCACUUGGGAUGUCUGGAUCCACCCCUCACACGCAUGCCAAAGAAAACCAAGAUCAUGGGCUGGCAGUGUUCAGAAUGUACAAAGUCCAGCAGUGGUGACUCUGAAGUAGAGACCAAAGAUCUCGAUGCCCCUCGCAAACUCCGAGAGAAAAUCAAGGAGCCUACGAAAUGGUCACCUGACAUGAAGUUCAAAUUUGAAUUUGAGAAGCUAACUAAGUACAACAUGAAAACC